UCCUUAGAUGUUCUGGGCCGCACGCGCGCUACACUGAAGGCAUCAGCGUGUCCUUCCCUCCCCGAGAGGGGCGGGUAACCCGCUGAACCGCUUUCGUGGUAGGGAUCGGGGCUUGCAAUUAUUCCCCGUGAACCAGGAAUUCCCAGUAAGCGCGAGUCAUAAGCUCGCGUUGAUUACGUCCCUGCCCUUUGUACACACCGCCCGUCGCUACUACCGAUUGAACGUUUUAGUGAGGUAUUUGGAUCGGACCUGAAGGGGUUCACGCCCUUUCUGUGUCUGAGAAGACUCCCAAACUUGAGCGUUUAGAGGAAGUAAAAGUCGUAACA
rnacentral:rRNA from 1 species